rnacentral:rRNA from 1 species
UACGGAGGGCUCAAGCGUUGUUCGGAUUCAUUGGGCGUAAAGGGUGCGUAGGCGGCGCGGUAAGUCGGGUGUGAAAUCUCGGAGCUUAACUCCGAAACUGCAUUCGAUACUGCCGUGCUUGAGGACUGGAGAGGAGACUGGAAUUUACGGUGUAGCGGUGAAAUGCGUAGAUAUCGUAAGGAAGACCAGUGGCGAAGGCGGGUCUCUGGACAGUUCCUGACGCUGAGGCACGAAGGUCAGGGGAGCAAACGGG